GACGAACGCUGGCGGCGCGCCUAACACAUGCAAGUCGAACGGAGCUGAGAGGAGCUUGCUUUUCUUAGCUUAGUGGCGAACGGGUGAGUAACGCGUGAGUAACCUGCCCUGGAGUGGGGGACAACAGUUGGAAACGACUGCUAAUACCGCAUAAGCCCACGAUCCGGCAUCGGAUUGAGGGAAAAGGAUUUAUUCGCUUCAGGAUGGACUCGCGUCCAAUUAGCUAGUUGGUGAGGUAACGGCCCACCAAGGCGACGAUUGGUAGCCGGACUGAGAGGUUGAACGGCCACAUUGGGACUGAGACACGGCCCAGACUCCUACGGGAGGCAGCAGUGGGGGAUAUUGCACAAUGGGGGAAACCCUGAUGCAGCGACGCCGCGUGGAGGAAGAAGGUUUUCGGAUUGUAAACUCCUGUCGUUAGGGACGAUAAUGACGGUACCUAACAAGAAAGC
rnacentral:rRNA from 1 species